ACCCUGGUAGUCCACGCCCUAAACGAUGCACACUAGUUGUUGCCUUGCUCGACAAGGCAGUAAUGCAGUUAACACAUUAAGUGUGCCGCCUGGGGAGUACGGUCGCAAGAUUAAAACUCAAAGGAAUAGACGGGGACCCGCACAAGCGGUGGAGCAUGUGGUUUAAUUCGACGAUACGCGAAGAACCUUACCCGGACUUGACAUAGAAAGAAUAACGCAGAGAUGUGAUAGUGCUUGCUUGCAAGAACUUUCAUACAGGUGCUGCACGGCUGUCGUCAGCUCGUGUCGUGAGAUGUUGGGUUAAGUCCCGCAACGAGCGCAACCCUCGUGUUUAGUUGCUAACAGUUAGGCUGAGAACUCUAAACAGACUGCCUGGGUAACCAGGAGGAAGGUGAGGACGACGUCAAUUCAUCAUGGCCCUUAUGUCCAGGGCUACCACGUGCUACAAUGGGGCAUACAAAGAGCAGCGAUACCGCGAGGUGGAGCAAAUCUGUUAAAAUGCCUCUCAGUUCGGAUAGCACUCUGCAACUCGAGUGCUUGAAGUUGGAAUCGCUAGUAAAUCGUGGAUCAGCAAUGCCACGGUGAAAUACGUUCCCGGGGUCUUUGUACUCACCG
rnacentral:rRNA from 1 species